rnacentral:rRNA from 1 species
UACGGAGGGUGCAAGCGUUAUCCGGAUUUACUGGGUUUAAAGCGUGCGCAGGCGGUUAUGUAAGACAGAUGUGAAAUCCCCGGGCUCAACCUGGGAACUGCAUUUGUGACUGCAUAGCUAGAGUACGGUAGAGGGGGAUGGAAUUCCGCGUGUAGCAGUGAAAUGCGUAGAUAUGCGGAGGAACACCGAUGGCGAAGGCAAUCCCCUGGACCUGUACUGACGCUCAUGCACGAAAGCGUGGGGAGCAAAAGGG